rnacentral:lncRNA from 1 species
AUUUAAAAGAGGGACGAAAGAUACCAAAGGGACAGUCAAACUCAUAAAUCCAAAACAAACUGACAACGCCAUGGCUAAAAACGAAAAAGACAAACAAACAACAGCACACACGACACAACAUAGAAAACCAAAGAAUAAACAACACGAACCCCACCAAAAAACUAGGGUGAUCUCAGGUGCUCCGGAAGGGUAAGCAGAUCCUGCUCCACAUGUGGCACCCGUCGUAUUGCUUAUGUGAUAACAAAUCCGGUAAAUAGUCUAAUUCGGUAGGUCACAUUCAUGAAAGGUAAGGGGAUUGUAGUUACGACGUAAGGAACAUGUCCGAUAUCAUUUGUGAAACGGUUAUUCCAUAACGGUCAACCAACUCGUGAUGGCGUCCGUAAAAUUUACGAAGGGAUGAUUUCAACUUCACCAUUUGGAACUCUUGGUUUAAUAGCUUCCUUGUGAGCAGCAACCCUCUAACAAGAAAAUCAUGAUAGGAAAUGCAAGCACGGGAAUAUUGUAUCAAUUGGGAGAUAUAUACCUCGUAUGCAGGUGCUGCUGGAAUGUUGCUACUUAGAAAUGGAAAGUUCACAAUUGGAAAGCUGAAAUCAUCUCUUUUGUCGUAAAGUUUUGUUUUCAACCGACCUUCAGUGUCGAUUUCUAGAUGUAAGUCAAGAUAUGAGGCCGACUUAACUGUAUCUGUAGUAUCCUUUAUCUCUAGCUCGAUUGGAUAGAUGCGUUCCACAUAGUCACCAAAUUUUGAAUUAUUUAGUGAAAGAACAUCAUCUAUAUAGCGAAAAAUGGAGUUAAAGGAUAUUGCUAACUUCUGAUUUUUUCUUCCUAAGAAGUUCCUGCAUGAAGUCAGCCUCAUAAUAAUAAAGAAACAAG